UCGAGAUUCGAUUCGAAAUUGCCUGAUUCGUAUUCGAAAUUAUUCGAUUCGUAUUCGAUAACAAAUAUUCGAUUCGAUUCGAUUAUUAUUCAAAUAUUUAUAUGAAAUUUUGAUAUUCGAUUCGAUAUUCGUAAAUAUUCGAUUCGAUAUAUAUAUAUUAUUUUGAAUUGUUUAAUAUGUUAAAAAGUAAAACCUAAACCCUAAUUCCCUAAACUAAAUCAGGCUAAUCAGCGCCUCAUCCUCAAAUCUCAAUUCCUCAUUCCUAAACUAAAGGAGCGCCGCACAGCUCCAAGCCCCCAACCUCCAAGCCUCCAACACCGUGCCUUCUCUCCACCACCGCGCGGUCAGCGCUUCCCCACACGUCGCCGCGCCGCCUGCAUCUGCUGCUCGUCGCCUGCAUCCCCGCGUCGCUCGUCACCGCGUCGCCGCGCCGCCUGCAUCUGGUGCUCGUCGCCUCGUCGCCGCGCCGCCUGCAUUUGCUGCUAGUCGCUGCGUCGCCUGCAUCUGCUGCUCGUCGCUCGUCGCCUGCAUCUGCUUCUCUAAGAUACGAAAUUACUGUACUGCUCUUGCUAAAAAAAUGGAGUCAAUGGACAAUUCAAAUUUAAUAGAAACUUUUCAAGCUUGGAGGAAGAUUGGGUGCUUCACAUUUGUUCUAAUAUCAUGUUAUUUUGAUGAAUUUGAAACUUUUCAUGAUGUAUGUUCUAGAUGGAUAUUGUUUAUUAUACAAAAUUUUGAAUUUGUGGCUUA